GUGGGCGUAGCUCAAUGGCAGAGCACCUGAUUGUGGUUCAGGCGGUUGAGGGUUCGAGCCCCUUCGUCCACC
rnacentral:tRNA from 2 species